AUGCAUCUGCAAGCCAAGGAACACCUAAGAGGACCAGCAAACCACCAGAAGCCGGGGGAGAGGCGUGGAACAGACCCUGCCUUACAGCUGUCAGAAGGAACCAACCCUGCCAACACCUUCCUGUUGUACUUUCAGCUUCCAGAACUAAAAAAAGAGAAAAAAGCAGGGUAAGAAGAGAAAGUGGUGGAGUUGAGCUGGGCAGAGUGGCUCUUUUAGAAGCGAUGACAUUUACACAUAGGUCACUAUGGAGAGGGCCAUGCAGACACCUGGAGGAGUGCCACAGACACAGGGAAGAGUGCAGGAAAGCUGACUUGGAAACACGGGGAGGUGGCAGGGAGGGGCAAAAAGGACUCUGGCAAGCAGAUCCACUGGUCUGGGUCCCUGCAGUGAAGAACCCAAGAUCCAGGUACCUCAGCCUGGAAGAAACCGUGCACUGCAGGUCUUCCCUUCUCUCAAAACUAAAAGCAAGGAACAGAAGUCAGUUGAAACCCCAGGUCAUCCUACCCACCUUCUGGCCGUCUCUGGAUAAUGAUCUAAGGAAAUAAGCUUACAUUUAUAAUUAGAGGAUAAUUUGGAGAAUUUAUACUAUUUACAUGGGCCACCCUGCAAAGAUCAGGGAAGGCUGGAUUUCUUCCUCCUUGAUCGUCUGAACUGGAAGCAAAGGAGAAAGCCCUUCUCCAAACAGGAGUUUCUCCUCUUUCCCUGGUCCUGCAGAAGAAAGAGGAGCUAUCCCCUCCUCAGCUAGCAGCACCUGAAAGGUAAACAGAGACAAGGUGAACCAACGGUCACCAGACAGGACGCACAAAAAUAUCACAUACUGGUUCUGAUCCUCUUUGUGUCGUUUUGAAGUCUUAAAAUCUAUUAAAUAUGAGAAUACAA
rnacentral:sRNA from 1 species